rnacentral:rRNA from 1 species
CCUACGGGAGGCAGCAGUGAGGAAUAUUGGUCAAUGGACGAGAGUCUGAACCAGCCAAGUAGCGUGAAGGAUGACUGCCCUAUGGGUUGUAAACUUCUUUUAUAUGGGAAUAAAAUGUUCCUCGUGGGGGAUUUUGUAUGUACCAUAUUAAUUAGGAUCGGCUAACUCCGUGCCAGCAGCCGCGGUAAUACGGAGGAUCCGAGCGUUAUCCGGAUUUAUUCGGUUUAAAGGGAGCGUAGGUGGAUUGUUAAGUCAGUUGUGAAAGUUGGCGGGUCAACCGUAAAAGUGCAGUUGAAACUGGCAGUCUUGAGUACAGGAGAGGUGGGCGGAAUUCGUGGUGUAGCGGUGAAAUGCUUAGAUAUCACGAAGAACUCCGAUUGCGAAGGCAGUUCACUGGACUGCAACUGACACUGAGGCUCGAAAGUGUGGGUAUCAAACAGGAUUAGAUACCCGUGUAGUC